UAGGGAAUCUUCCGCAAUGGACGAAAGCCUGAUCCAGCAAUGCCGCGUGAGUGAAGAAGGCCUUCGGGUUGUAAAGCUCUUUUAGUCGGAAAGAAAGAGUUGCAAUGAAUAGUUGUGAUUUAUGACGGUACCGACAGAAAAAGCAACGGCUAACUACGUGCCAGCAGCCGCGGUAAUACGUAGGGUGCGAGCGUUAAUCGGAAUUACUGGGCGUAAAGGGUGCGCAGGCGGUCUUGCAAGUCAGAUGUGAAAGCCCCGGGCUUAACCUGGGAAUUGCGUUUGAAACUACAAGGCUAGAGUGCAGCAGAGGGGAGUGGAAUUCCAUGUGUAGCAGUGAAAUGCGUAGAGAUGUGGAAGAACACCGAUGGCGAAGGCAGCUCCCUGGGUUGACACUGACGCUCAUGCACGAAAGCGUGGGGAUCAAACA
rnacentral:rRNA from 1 species